CACGUAGGGGGCAAGCGUUGUCCGGAUUUAUUUGGGCGUAAAGAGCUCGUAGGCGGUCUGUUCGCGUCUGCUGUGAAAACUCAGGGCUUAACCCUGAGCUUGCAGUGGGUACGGGCAGACUAGAGUGCUGUAGGGGAGACUGGAAUUCCUGGUGUAGCGGUGAAAUGCGCAGAUAUCAGGAGGAACACCGGUGGCGAAGGCGGGUCUCUGGGCAAGUAACUGACGUGAGGAGCGAAAAGCGUUGGGG
rnacentral:rRNA from 1 species